CAUUUUUUUUGUAUGAUAAGCUAAUGAUGAAUUGAGUUUGAAUGACACGGUCCCAAUUUCUGAUAUCUGUGAAUAAAUUUUGUCUGCAUGAUGUAAUGGCAAGUGAUUUUGCAUAGCUCAAUUCCGGUUUCUAGAGCGUCUUUUGUUGGUACAUGGUCAUUGGUGUUAUCGGCGUAUAUCAAUGAGAUAUGCUAUUUUUUUCUAUAAAACAUUGCAUUUGGAUUACCCUUUUUGGUUUGAGGCUAUGCUUCUUUCUUGGUCAAGCUGCUUACAAUGAUUGGUACAUGUCAUUUUACAAUGUCUUCUUCACUUCACUUCCAGUGAUCGCUCUAGGUGUUUUUGAUCAGGAUGUUUCUGCCAAACUUUGCCUAAAGUAUCCCUUUCUAUAUCUAGAGGGAGUAGAAGACACCCUGUUCAGCUGGCCCGAAUUCUUGGUGGAUGUUGAAUGGAGUCCUUAGUUCUUUAGUGAUAUUCUUCUUAACCACUAAUUCUGUGUUGAAUCAAGCCUUCAGAAGAGAUGGUAAGGUGGUUGAUUUUGAAAUACUUGGGGUCACAAUGUAUACAUGUGUGGUGUGGACUGUGAAUUGCCAAUGGCAAUCCUCAAUAUACUUUACUUGGAUACAACAUUUUUUUUUAUAUGGGGCAGCAUCGCUUGCUGGUAUGUAUUUGUGUUGGCUAUGGUUACUUAUCCUCCAGCAAUAUCCACACAUCUACAAGGUUUUUGUGGAAGCAUUGCUCCCAGUGGUCUCUAUUGGCUAGUAACCCUGUGGGGUUGGUUUUGUGUGGAUACCCCUAUUUCUCCAUAGGUCUUUCCAAAGUCGGUUUUCUUCCAUGGUACCAGGAUAUUAUACCAGAGAAACAAGUAGAAGGGAUUAAAUUGGCUUUACUGAUAUGACUUACCUAAACGGUCCAAGGAAACAAUACACCUCAGAGAGAGAUUGAAGCAAAGGGAGUUGUGAAAUGUAAAUGCUUCUAAAACUACAUUCUUAGACCCUUGAAAUUGUAUUUGAUUUCUUGCAAAGGGGCAUUGAAGUAGUGAGAAUUGCCAAUAGCUUUUAAUUUUUAAUUUUUUUUCUUUUCUUCCUUGGGUUUCCAUUUGUUUAUAAAGUUAGAAGAGGUAGCAGUCACCUGAUGUAGAUUAGCUAUGUAAAGCUUGAGUAUUUGUUGUACCGAAAACGGUCAUUGUAUUUGUUAAUGGAAAAAGCAAUAGAUGUUUUACAAUA